ACAGAAAAUCCUUCCUGCAGCAUGGGCCAGGUUAUACCGGAUGUCUCAUACAGGCCAGUAUCUUAUUCCAUGCAUGACUUACUCAUGUUGCAAAAGCAGGCCCUUGUGAUUAUAUAACAGCUCUCAAGAGGAAGCUGCUAACAAGACCAUCUGACAUUUUUUUGCCAGCUGUUUUAGUGGAGGCGUGUUGGAUUAGACUGAGCUCCACCUUCUCUGAUGAGCAAAGCAUUUGGAAAAUGACAGAGCCUGAAGAAAAAGGAAUUUCAAAAUCUGGCUCCCCAUUUUCUCCUGAGCAGGUCUGCUCUUCUACAUGUGUGGACAAGUAGGCAAGAGUGGUCUACAAGCUCCUUCUCAGCAAGCCCGGCUGUUAGGAGUCAUGACUUCGCAUGAUGCAGUGACUCCUGCUAAGUUCCUGUCAGUGUGCCAUAGUUCAGUGAGAAGCACAGUGUCUUCAGAUGGUGCUGGACAAGCUUUUCUCCAUGAUGUGCUGUUAAAAGCAUAUAUCCAGAUAUCCAGAAAAAAAAAAAAAGUGGAAAAAAAGAAGCAGCUGACCAAUAACUUACCUAGAAAAUGCUGA
rnacentral:lncRNA from 1 species